rnacentral:rRNA from 1 species
AACGAACGCUGGCGGUAUGCCUAACACAUGCAAGUCGAACGAGACCUUCGGGUCUAGUUGCGCACGGGUGCGUAACGCGUGGGAACCUGCCCUUAGGCUCGGAAUAACUCCUCGAAAGGGGUGCUAAUACCGGAUAAUUUCUUCUGACCAAAGAUUGAACGUCUUUGUAUGGGCCCGCGUUGGUUUAGCUUGUUGGUAGGGUAAAAGCCUACCAAGGCGAGGAUCCAUAGCGGGUCUGAGAGGAAGAUCAGCCACUCUGGGUCUGAGACGCGGCCCAGAAUCCUGCGGGAGGCAGCAGUGGGGAAUAUUGGACUAUGGGCGGAAGGAUGAUGCAGCAAUGCUGCGUGAGUGAUGAAGGCCUUAGGGUAGUAAAGCUCUUUUACCCGGGAUGAUAAUGACGGUACCGAAAGAAUAAGCACCGGCUAACUCCGUG